rnacentral:rRNA from 1 species
CGGACGGGUGAGUAAUGUCUGGGAAACUGCCUGAUGAGGGGGAUAACUACUGGAAACGGUAGCUAAUACCGCAUAACGUCGCAAGACCAAANAGGGGGACCUUCGGGCCUCUUGCCAUCGGAUGUGCCCAGAUGGGAUUAGCUAGUAGGUGGGGUAGCGGCUCACCUAGGCGACGAUCCCUAGCUGGUCUGAGAGGAUGACCAGCCACACUGGAACUGAGACACGGUCCAGACUCCUACGGGAGGCAGCAUG